rnacentral:lncRNA from 1 species
CAUGACUGCACAUUAGAAUCACUCGAAAGCUUUAGCAAAUAGUGAUGCCCGGAGCCACUCCUAGGUAUUACAUUUAAUCAGUCUGGGCAUCAACACUGAAAAAUCUCCCAGGUGAAUCUAAUGUGCAAUCAGGGCUGAGAACCACUGAUUAAGCCCAUAUGGUGGUGCUCAGCAAGUGGCAGAAGACUGAGGAGCUUGGCUCACCUUCAGUCCUGGGCUCAGAGAGAAGCAGAGUCCUGACCUCCUUGCCCCAACUGGCCACUCCGGGGCUGGGAUAAGAUGAGCCCUUGGAAGUAGCUCCUAUUCAGGGAGUUUUCUGGUUAGAACUGAUCCCAUCUCUAGAGGCCAAGUCAAAGAUAAAGGAUUUGAGGAAAGACAGAAACUGUCAGCCAUUUUUUUUUGCUUAAUACGGAUCCAUCCUCAAGCAAACAAGGACACCCCAGGACGGCAAGCUCAGAGUGCCUGCUUGGAUCGAGCUGAUGCAAUCAAGACAAAUGCCAACCUGCCUUCUGUCCCUUUGAGCCUGUCCUCCGGUUCCCUGGCCUGCCAGUCAGAGCCGCCUGCAGCAAGCUCUAAAACGUGGCCCUCUCCCCCAUGUUUCCACCAGACACAAAGGGCCGGGCUGGCAAUGCUCUUGUCCAUCAGUGAUGAGCAGUUGGUACCCUGUGCCUGGGGAGGAACUUCUGAUCUCAGCUUGGGGCCUGUCGAUGAGCCAGUGACUGCUGUUCUCACAGAGAACCAGCAGGACACGGUUAAAUCUCUGUCGGAACAUGGCAAAGUGAUGAAUCGUGCUCAUGUUUAUUCCAUGGUUUCAAAGGCAGCCAUCUAAUGUUUAAGAGCACGGGGACAAUAAAUGAACAGACAGUUUGGUGGAGAACAGAAGAGGUGGACACAGCCAUGAUUUGCUACCUAGUAGACGGACUUUAUUUUAUUUUAUAUGGCUCAGGUGUAUAGCUUGAAAGACCCCUAAAGUAUAGUAAGACUUGGAUAAGCUCCAUUGUGCUCCAAAUUUGGGAAGCAGUGCCUUAUGCUAAUAAUGUUUUUGUAAGAAAAUAGUCUCCUUUUCAUCAGCAGAUUGUCCCUCAAAUUAGUUGAAGCCUGGAGGCCUUAAAUUAAAAAAACAAGAAAUUACAAUGCAGCAGAUUGAAUUUAGGUUCAUGUGUUGUGUUUGAAAUACAGGAGUGGCUGUUGAAGGCCUGAUUUAAAAUGAAUGGUGGGUUCCUUAUGCAGGAUCCCCUGAAUAUCUGGUUAUUUGCGUUGAAAGCUCGGCCUUCCUUCACCAUGACCACGGCUUGCCCUCCAGGCCAGCCUGAGCUGGCAGGACCACACCAGAGUCUGUGCUGAUGCCAUUACACCUGCUGGAACCUUCUCCUGAACUGCUGUCCCUGCCCAGCUCGGAUGAGGCAGGUCUAGCUUGGAGUCCCAUUCCCCUCUUGGCCUCAACAAGAGAAGUGCUCAAGGAGGAGUGAAAACUGGAACUCUUUACCAGCCCUGGGCUUGAGAU